GAUCAUGGCUCAGGAUGAACGCUAGCUACAGGCUUAACACAUGCAAGUCGAGGGGGCAGCAUGGUCUUAGCUUGCUAAGGCCGAUGGCGACCGGCGCACGGGUGAGUAACGCGUAUCCAACCUGCCUUACACGUCUUGGACAGCCUUCUGAAAGGGAGAUUAAUACAAGAUGUUAUCAUGAGUAAGCUAUUUUCGCAUGUAAUUAAAGGUUUACCGGUGUAAGAUGGGGAUGUCCG
rnacentral:rRNA from 1 species